rnacentral:rRNA from 1 species
UACGUAGGGGGGCAAGCGUUGUCCGGAUUUAUUGGGCGUAAAGCGCGUGUAGGCGGCCAGAAAAGUCCGCUGUGAAAACUCGAGGCUCAACUUCGAGCUGUCGGUGGAAACUUUCUGGCUAGAGUCCGGGAAGAGGAGAAUGGAAUCCUGGUGUAGCGGUGAAAUGCGCAGAUAUCAGGAAGAACACCCCGUGGGCGAAGGC